UACAAAGAACCUCUUUGUGAAUUAGUCUAUCAACGACACGUCCGUAUAAGUAAAAACAAUCCAUUGCUGAGGUUCACAGGUAUAUUAAAACCUGAGAACCAGAACGCUUGCCAUUCCGUAUUUAUCAUCGACGCGACGCGAUCAUCUGCAUGCGACCAUGCCAAACAAGUUUACAAUUGAAGCGCCGCGACUUCGCGUGAAUUUCGUAUUUUUUACUUUCACAUUAGUGUUGUUUUGCUACGAUGCAAGCUCUGAAGAAAGGCCUGCGGUCACGACGCCUCUGGGCGAGGUUGCCGGUUAUUACAUGACCACCAGAGGCGGUAGGCAAAUAUCGGCUUUUACGGCCAUACCAUUUGCGAAACCACCGGUCGGAGAACUGAGAUUUAAAGCACCAGUCCCGUUUGGGCCAUGGGAAGGAGUACUAGACGCCACAAAAGUAAGCCCAAUAUGCGUUCAGAGGAAUCCAUAUGUCCGUCAAAAAGAUAUCGUUGGACAAGAAGACUGUUUGUAUCUUAAUGUGUAUGUUCCCGCCACGACCAAUGAUGAUAAAAGCAAAAAGGAAUUAUUACCGGUGAUGCUGUUUUUGCACGGAGGAGGAUGGAUGUGUGGUGACGCCACGACGGCAAUGUACGGUCCUGAGUUUCUAUUAGACAGGGAUGUUAUAUUGGUUACCACGAACUACAGAUUAGGUCCUCUUGGAUUUCUGUCGACAAAAGAUGAACACUGUCCCGGUAACAAUGGUCUGAAAGAUCAACAAGAGGCACUCCGUUUUAUUCAGCAAAACAUCGAAAGCUUCGGUGGGAACAAAGAUUCUGUCACAAUAUUUGGCGAGAGCGCCGGCGGCUCCAGUGUUCACUUCCACAUGCUAUCGGAUACCAGUGCAGGUUUAUUCCAUAAAGCCAUAUCGGAGUCGGGAACAGCAUUGGUGCCUUGGGCCGAAGCACCUCCGGGUGAGGCUCUCAGGAACGCCUUUAAAUUGGCAAAGUUCUUGGGAUGCCCUCCUGCGCCUUCCGAAAAGUUUAUCGCCUGUCUUCGCACUAAGGACAGCUAUGAGAUCAUCGGAACCGAGUUUGAUUUUUACGCAUGGGAUUAUGAACCUAUGACACCGUUUAAGGCGGUAGUGGAACCAGAUCUCCCAGGGGCCUUUUUAACAAGAAAUGCGAGGGACACGCCCAAGGCACCAUCUGUACCGUGGAUGACAGGCUUGACUAAGAACGAAGGCUGUCUAAAAUCAGUCUGGAUAACAGCAAAUGAUACCAGAUAUGAAGAAUUCAUAUCAGGUUUCGAUACUAUAGCACCUGUGACAUUUUAUUACGAUAAUUCUCCGUUCCCUGAAGUCAUAACUAAAAAACUGAGGCAGAAAUAUAUCAAUGGAAACAAUCGGAAAGUUAUUGAGAACGGGAUUCUUGAAAUCUAUUCAGACUCAUAUUUUAACUACCCAGCAAUUGAAGCGGUGGAACUAACGUUGAAUCAUAGUCCUGAACCGAUUUACUUAUACGAAUUAACUUACAGAGCGGCUAAUAGCUUCUCUCAAAUAUUCGGAGACCCCGAAGGAGAUUAUGGUGUGUGCCAUGCCGAUGACUUAAUGCACCUCUUUCCGAUACAUUUUCUCAGUCAACCUUUCUCAGAAAGAGACAUCGAGUUCAGCAAGUAUCUAAUUACGUUGUGGACUAAUUUUGCUACGUCAGGGUAAGUGAAAGGACAUAAACAAUAAUAAUUAUUAACGAUAAAACAUUUUCAAAUCAUUCACUUAAAGUUACUGGAUUUACAACAAGUUCUUUCAUUGCAAACGCACGAAACACUGCAAUAAAUUAACUAAUAUUCACAUUUAUGUAAAAUUUAAGCAAUUACAAAAAGAUGGUAAAGUUAAACUUUGACGCAAUUAUGUAAAUAUUGUUGUAUAAUUAUCAUACAGUUUUAUUAUUUUCUACCUUCAGCAAUCCGAAUAAACCCAAUAACAUACCGACUGUUUGGAAGCCGGUAACGAGCCGAGAAAAGAUGGAAUAUUUAGAUAUUGGCUUAAAAUCAAGGAUGAAAGAAGGAUUGGCGACUCGAUCGAGAUUUUGGGGUUCAUUGCCUUUGUGGCAUAACUUGGACAGUCAAAGACUGAGAGACGAAUUGUAAUUUGGAUAAGAGAAAAUUUUUAAUAACUUGUUUGUUAUACAAUAUAAUUAAAACAUCUUAUAAUAA